CAGAGCAAUGACUUCCGGCGGAAGAAGACGCCGGGUCCGAGUUUUGGCCGACCGCUGGCAGGGAGUAGAUUCUGAUUGCCCUGUGAAGUUUGCUGAUGCAAGAAGGCCCACUUCUUGUUCAAUGGAUGAUGGCAUUUGAUCAGAUAC